ensembl:lncRNA
GAUCACUCUGAUGCUACUUACAGCCAGGUCCCCAUCACCUUUAGCCUGGAUCACUCUGAUUCUACUUACAGCCAGGUCCCCAUCACCUUUAGUCUGGAUCACUCUGAUGCUACUUACAGCCAGGUCCCCAUCACCUUUAGCCUGGAUCACUCUGAUUCUACUUACAGCCAGGUCCCCAUCACCUUUAGCCUGGAUCACUCUGAUGCUACUUACACCCAGAUCCUCCCUCACCUUUAGUCUGGAUCACUCAGCUCCUACUUACACCCAGAUCCUCCCUCACCUUUAGUCUGGAUCACUCAUCUCCUACUUACACCCAGAUCCUCCCUCACCUUUAGUCUGGAUCACUCAGCUCCUACUU